AUGUUACGAGAAUCUUGUACCCACCAUCAUUCUGUUGUUGACUCAUCCUGUUCUCAUCUCAUGCGGCAGAAUCUAGAGAGAAAAAGCAACGCAAAAAAAGAGAAGAGAGAGAGAGAAAGAGUGAAAGUGUUACACUGGUGUUGUACUUUGGACAAUGCUACUCUACUAAACAAAACACUAAAACCACACUUAAGAUUCCUUUUCAUUUGGGAUUCGUUUUUCAAAAGGGUUUGUGUCCUUUCUUAUUAUCAUCUCAAAUUCUUGUUAAAGUUUCCACCUUUUGUUUUGUUCUGUUUCUGA